GCCCUAUGUGGCGUCGCCUGCCUGUCACAAGGGUUGUUGCGUAUUAGAAUUUAUUGAUUGACAAAACUUGAAUUAAACUCCAUAAAGAAGAAGAACAAACUCCAUAAAAGGAGAACAAAAUACACUCCGUAAUAGGAGGAAAUGACACUCCAUUAAAGGAGGAAGAAUCACUCCAUAGAAGGAGGAAGAGAAACCUCCAUGGAAGGAGGGAUUGGAAGACUACAAUCCAAUGA
rnacentral:lncRNA from 1 species